rnacentral:rRNA from 1 species
UACGUAGGGGGCCAGCGUUGUCCGGACUUACUGGGCGUAAAGCGCGCGCAGGUGGACGAGUAUGUGCCGUGUGAAAGCGCCGUCCUUACGAUGGUGAGGUCAUGGUAGACGGCUUGUCUAGAGGCUCGAAGAGGUCGAUGGAAUUCCGGGUGGAGCGGUGAAAUGCGUAGAGAUCCGGAGGAACACCAGGGGCGAAAGCGGCUCACUGGACCACAACUGACGCUGAGGCGCGAAAGCUAGGGGAGCAAACAGG